rnacentral:rRNA from 1 species
GUGGGGAAUAUUGGGCAAUGGGGGCAACCCUGACCCAGCAACGCCGCGUGAGGGAAGAAGGUUUUCGGAUUGUAAACCUCUGUCCUAUGGGAAGAAGGAAGUGACGGUACCAUAGGAGGAAGCCCCGGCUAACUACGUGCCAGCAGCCGCGGUAAUACGUAGGGGGCGAGCGUUGUCCGGAAUUACUGGGCGUAAAGGGUGCGCAGGUGGCCUGACAAGUCAGAUGUGAAAUACCGAUGCUUAACGGCGGGGCUGCAUUUGAAACUAUGAUGCUGGUGUGCAGGAGAGUGAAGCGGAAUUCCUAGUGUAGCGGUGAAAUGCAUAGAUAUUAGGAGGAACACCAGUGGCGAAGGCGGCUUUCUGGACUGUAACUGACACUGAGGCACGAAAGCGUGGGGAGCAAACAGGAUUAGAAACCCUAGUAGUCC